CCUACGGGAGCAGCAGUGGGGAAUCUUGCGCAAUGGGCGAAAGCCUGACGCAGCAACGCCGCGUGCGGGAAGAAGGCUUUCGGGCUGUAAACCGCUUUCAGCAGGAACGAAAAUGACGGUACCUGCAGAAGGAGGAGCGGCCAACUAUGUGCCAGCAGCCGCGGUGAUACAUAGGCUUCAAGCGUUGUCCGGAUUUAUUGGGCGUAAAGAGUUCGUAGGCGGCCGAGUAAGUCGGGUGUGAAAAUUCUGGGCUCAACCCAGAGACGCCACCCGAUACUGCUUGACUUGAGUUCGAUAGGGGAGUGGGGAAUUCCUAGUGUAGCGGUGAAAUGCGCAGAUAUUAGGAGGAACACCGGUGGCGAAGGCGCCACUCUGGAUCGAUACUGACGCUGAGGAACGAAAGCAUGGGUAGCAAACAGGAUUAGAUACCCUGGUAGUCCAUGCCGUAAACGGUGGGCACUAGGUGUGGGUUUCUAUUAACGAAAUUCCGCGCCGUCGCUAACGCAUUAAGUGCCCCGCCUGGGGAGUACGGUGCAAGACUAAAACUCAAAUGAAUUGACGG
rnacentral:rRNA from 1 species